GACGAACGCUGGCGGCGUGCCUAAUACAUGCAAGUAGAACGCUGAAGAGAGGAGCUUGCUCUUCUUGGAAGAGUUGCGAACGGGUGAGUAACGCGUAGGUAACCUGCCUUGUAGCGGGGGAUAACUAUUGGAAACGAUAGCUAAUACCGCAUAAUAAUGGAUGACCCAUGUCAUUUAUUUGAAAGGGGCAACUGCUCCACUACAAGAUUGACCUGCGUUGUAUUAGCUAGUAGGUGAGGUAACGGCUCACCUAGGCGACGAUACAUAGCCGACCUGAGAGGGUGAUCGGCCACACUGGGACUGAGACACGGCCCAGACUCCUACGGGAGGCAGCAGUAGGGAAUCUUCGGCAAUGGGGGCAACCCUGACCGAGCAACGCCGCGUGAGUGAAGAAGGUUUUCGGAUCGUAAAGCUCUGUUGUAAGUCAAGAACGAGUGUGAGAGUGGAAAGUUCACACUGUGACGGUAGCUUACCAGAAAGGGACGGCUAACUACGUGCCAGCAGCCGCGGUAA
rnacentral:rRNA from 1 species